UACGUAGGGUGCGAGCGUUGUCCGGAAUUAUUGGGCGUAAAGAGCUUGUAGGCGGUCUGUCGCGUCUGCUGUGAAAAUCCGGGGCUCAACCCCGGACUUGCAGUGGGUACGGGCAGACUAGAGUGGUGGUAGGGGAGACUGGAAUUCCUGGUGUAGCGGUGAAAUGCGCAGAUAUCAGGAGGAACACCGAUGGCGAAGGCAGGUCUCUGGGCCACUACUGACGCUGAGAAGCGAAAGCAUGGGGAGCGAACAGG
rnacentral:rRNA from 1 species